rnacentral:tRNA from 2 species
AGAAAGUUAGUCUAACUAAGACAGUUGAUUUCGACUCAACAGACCAUAGCUCGACCCUAUGACUUUCUC